GCCGAGGUGGCGGAACUGGUAGACGCGCCGGACUCAAAAUUCGGUAGUGGCAACGCUGUGGGGGUUCGAUUCCCCCUCUCGGUA
rnacentral:tRNA from 1 species